GAUGAACGCUGGCGGCAUGCCUAACACAUGCAAGUCGAUCGGUAAGGCUCUUCGGAGUCCCCGAGAGGCGGACGGCUGAGUAACGCGUAGGAACACACCCUGCAGUGAGGGAUAAGACACCGAAAGGUGUUCUAAUACCGCAUACGGUCUUCGGAUUAAAGCAUUUAUGCGCUGAAGGAGUGGCCUGCGUCAUAUUAGAUAGUUGGUGAGGUAAUGGCUCACCAAGUCGAUGAUGUGUAGCUGGUCUGAGAGGAUGAUCAGCCAGACUGGAACUGAGACACGGUCCAGACUCCUACGGGAGGCAGCAGUGAGGAAUAUUUCACAAUGAGCGAAAGCGUGAUGGAGCAAUGCCGCGUGCAGGAUGAAGGCCCUCGGGUUGUAAACUGCUUUUAUAAGAGAAGAUUAUGACGGUAACUUAUGAAUAAGGGACGGCUAACUACGUG
rnacentral:rRNA from 1 species